ACUGUAUAGAUAGAUAGCUAAGUGAAUUAAAUAUCAUCAGCUGUCUAACUUCAUAUUAGCUACCUAUCUUGAUGUAUUUAUCACUGUAAAAAACAAACUCCAAAUGCAUUUGUAGGUAGCUAGCUAACAGCCAUGGAGGGUGAAAGGAUAGCAGCCCCAACUGUCAGUGAGAGAGGAGGCUAUUCUGGAUAGGGCAUGUACUUUUGUGUAGUUCCUGUCCCUAGAAGUGAGGACGGAGAUAAUAGUAACAUAAUAUUCAGUGUGGUGUAAUUUGACUAUAAUGAAGUGUGUUUCUUGUGAGGUUUUCUGUCCUCAGAUAAAGAGCGCAAUGAAAGCCAGUCUACAUAUGAAGAGGUCCCUAUGAAGAGCAGUGGUUCUCAGUCCUGGGGACUCAAAGAGGCACAUUGUUGUUUUUGCCUCAGCACUGCACAGCUGAUUCAAAUGAUCAACUCAUCAUCAAGCUUCAAGUGAUACCUUGUAACUGGAGAAUCCUUCAAAACGAUUGCCUACAGUUACCGUGUAGGACACUGCAAGGUUGGGUGACCAGGGUCAUCUGGGACUGCCUCCUGGAGGAAUUCAGAUGUGUGAAGGCUACCUGUGUCCUGCGUAACUUCAUGAGGAUGGACACGCGGACCAGGAGGGGAUCUGCAGCUCGCCGCCGUGUCCCAGAGGAGGAGUCUGCUGCUCUGCAGGAUGUUUCAAGGAUGGGGUCCAACAACGCAGCAAGAGAGGCAAUCCGUGUGCAGGAGAUCUUCACCUCCUACUUCUUCAAAGAGGUUGCUGUUCCCUGGCAACACCAUAGACUACACUAUGCUCAACCAAAGGCUCUUUUAAGAGCCAUUCACAUUGCAAUAGGAGUAUUCUUCCAUUUACUUAGCUAUGUCAAUUGCAGUUAUUCAAUUCCUAGUGUCUCUCCCUUUGAUUUCUACUUCUCAGGUGAGGGUGCUGUUUAGGUAAGGGUGUGAUGUCUGUGCAAAAACAAAACAGGCUAUUUUAAAUCACCCAUAUUGAAAAAAUGUAGAACAAUUAGACACCCUAUAACCCACACCUAUACACUCAUGUAUCAAUCUGAUUGAUGGAUUGUGUUGUGCAGUAAGCAGGCUCAGGUGUAUAACUGUGGCUCCUUCCACCUUCAAAGAAUAGGCAAGAGGGCCAACCAUGGAGAAUAGUAAGACACUUCAUUAUUUCUAUAACUCUAUAUUGUUUGUCCUUGUGGGUCCAUUCAUGUUUUUCAGCAUAAAGUACUCUGCAGCCACUUAGUGUGGUGUGGACACCAGGUUAUAUCAGCUGUGUCGGUGAACCCCUCCUGCAUCUGAACUGGCUACAUAGAGGGCACAGCAUGAUCAGAGAUAUGUUUUCAUGUGAGAGGAUGCCAACCCCUAGUCCCAUCAUCGCCACCUCACCUGCUUUUAAGAUAACCUUUGGGCCGACUAGAGACACUAUUAUGUAAUGGUGAUGAACUGAGAGAAUAUUUAUGUAGCACUGUGAUUCAUUAAUCAUGUGCUGCCUUCCCUGCUCCUAUGUGCUUACCUCUUUCCCUUUCUGUCUUUUACACCUCUCUCUCCACCUCCUCUGUUUUUAUAAUGCACAACAGAUGUGCAUUGAAGGACAGAUUGAACUUGUAUUUAUAACACUUGGAUAAUGAGCUUUUCAAUAAAGCGUUUCACAUUCUC